rnacentral:lncRNA from 1 species
AAGAAUAUUAUUACUUGGAUAUGUUUUCUUGUAAUAAGACUGCAGACACCGUUACAGGACUCUUUCAAGUGGAAUUUGGUUUAUGAUCACCAGGACGUGUGUAGCAAAACCAUUAUUUAAGACUACCAUAAAUAUGCUUAUGGAGAUGGCAACACCAAGGCUUCAUUCGCCAUCACCUUUUAUUUCUCAUCCUUGUUUCGUCCAUCUUAGUUAAUGCUGCAAAUAAACAAAAAGAACAAAUCAAAGUUAAGCUUGAGUUAUCAAGUUCUAAGGGAAACAAAUAUGUCAGUCAUAUAGCUGAAUAGUUUUUCAGGUAAAACUGUAAAAGAUAUGCAAUGAAAGGAUUUAUUUUGCUCAGUUGGUGGUCCUGGAGAUGGGAAUAUUCAUUUCAACUGCACACUUCGUAGGAAGAGAGGAGGCAGCAUGUUCCUUGAUAAUCGAAUAUCUAGCAGCAGCUGCCAUGACACAAUCGCGAGCUGCCCGUAUAUCAGCUGUGGUUGGUGUGAUUAUCUUGAGGUUCUUAACACCAUCACAGCACAAAGCAGAAGGGCUGCAUCCAACUGUCAAGUAAGAGAUGCAAGAAGCCAGAGAUGUAUCGACUGAUCAAGACAAUUGACUCAAACUUUCAAGAUAAACUAAGAACGCACUAGCGAACACGCACGUAAAAUUUAGGCCGGUUUGGACUGGGAUUUUCCAUGUAAACUAGAGUAAACAAUUUAAAAUAAAAUAUCCGAAAUUGCAAUGAACAGUUCAUAAAAAGAUUAAAAUAAGUUGUAAAUUGUGAUUAAUGAAUCAUUCUCUGCCACUAAACAUUAGAUUUAAGUCAAUUAUCAUUCACUUUCUUUUGAAAACAACUCCUCUAAGAUAAUUACAAGCUCAAUUAUCUUGAUCUUUCCUUAUUUAGUUGUUAAGUACAAUAAGCUCUUACUUAAUAUCUGUCUAUGAAUCACCUAGAACAAUGUCACGAGAUGAGUUUGUUGCACAGCAACCCAUGCGGCACGUAGACAAACUUCUAGUACAAAAGUUGCUAAAUAAGCCGAAAGAACUUCUCAAGCUAGUCAAACAAGAUGAUUGCUCAAAGGCUAGAGAGAAAAAAGAGCAAUAUGGCCAAAAAUAAUUUUAUUACUUGCAAAAGAGAAUACAAGAGAGCUUACAAGGAUGCUUGAGUUGCUUGGUAUUGUGUGUGGUGUGGUG